CCUACGGGAGGCAGCAGUGAGGAAUAUUGGUCAAUGGCCGGAAGGCUGAACCAGCCAUGCCGCGUGAAGGGCAGGGUCCUAUGGGCGUUAAACUUCUUUUGUGCGGGAGAAAUAAUGGUCACGUGUGGCCAGACGAGAGUACCGUACGAAUAAGCAUCGGCUAAAUCCGUGACAGCAGCCGCGGUAAUACGGGGGAUGCAAGCGGUUUCCGGAUUUAUUGGGGUUAAAGGGUGCGUAGGCUGUGAGGUAAGUCAGCGGUGAAAUGCCCCCGCUCAACGGGGUGAAGUGCCAUUGAUACUGCCUUGCUGGAAUGCGGAUGCCGUGGGAGGAAUGUGUGGUGUAGCGGUGAAAUGCAUAGAUAUCACACAGAACACCGAUUGCGAAGGCAUCUCACGAAUCCGCGAUUGACGCUGAUGCACGAAAGCGUGGGUAUCAAACAGGAUUAGAUACCCCAGUAGUC
rnacentral:rRNA from 1 species